rnacentral:rRNA from 1 species
UACGGGGGGAGCAAGCGUUGUUCGGAUUUACUGGGCGUAAAGGGCGCGUAGGCGGCCAGCACAAGUCAGUUGUGAAAUCUCCGAGCUUAACUCGGAAAGGUCAACUGAUACUGUGCGGCUAGAGUGCGGAAGGGGCAACUGGAAUUCUUGGUGUAGCGGUGAAAUGCGUAGAUAUCAAGAGGAACACCUGCGGCGAAGGCGGGUUGCUGGGCUGACACUGACGUUGAGGGACGAAGGCCUGGGUAGCAAUAAGG